AUGUUUGAGGCAGAUACUGGUCUUGUAUACUGGCUUGUAAAGCGCAGCGGUUCCUGUUGUGUCCCGUGUGCUCCACAUGAGCCGUGAAAAUGCGAGGGAGGCAUUUUAAAAUCUCCUGCCUGAUCGUACCCAUAUCCGCAGCAGGUCUCCAAGGUGAACAGCCUCUAGUCGAUAGAAUAAUGUAGGUAAGGGAAGUCGGCAAAUUAGAUUCGUAACUUCGGGAAAAGAAUUGGCUCUAAAGGUUGGGUCAGUCGGGCUGUUGUGUGAAACUGGUGGACUUUGCUCGUGGCUGCUUGAGCUUCCUUACGGGGCGGCGCUUGUGGACUAGUAGUGAGGACUGCUUGUGGAGUGCUUCAGCUGCGUGCUAUUUCGCAAGAUAUAGUACUUCGAUUGGCGCUGAACAACCAGUUUAGAACUGGCACGAACUCCGGGAAUCCGACUGUCUAAUUAAAACAGAGGAGACGGAUGGUCCUUGCAGGACGUUGACCGUGUCUGAUUUCUGCCCAGUGCUCUGAAUGUUAAGCCAAGGAAACUUGAUUAAGCGCGGGUAAACGGCGGGAGUAACUAUGACUCUCUUAAGGUAGCCAAAUGGCUCGUCGGCUAACUACCGACGCGCACGAAUGGAUCAACGAGAUUCCCACUGUCCCUAUCUACUAUCUAGCGAAACCACAGCCAAGGGAACGGCUUGGCAAAUUAGCGGGAAAGAGACCCUGUUGAGCUUGACUCUAGUCUGACUUUGUGAAGAAUCAUGAGAGGUGUAGCAUAAGUGGGAGUCGCAAGACAACAGUGAAAUACCACUACUUUCAUCGAUUCCUUACUUAAUCGGUAAAACGGGANGUUGUGUCUAAGGACCUUCAUUUUUGUUUAAGACUAGCCACUCGGUGGUUGGUUGACUCGCGCCGAUGACAUUGUCAGGCGGGGAGUUUGACCGUAAUAACUUCGUAUAGCAUACAUUAUACGAAGUUAUACGAAGGCAAAUGCUUACUUGAUCUUGAUUUUCAGUACGAAUACAGACCGCGAAAGCGUGGCUUAUCGAUCCUUUUGAGUUUGUAAAGUUUUACAGCAAGAGGUGUCAGAAAAGUUACCACAGGGAUAACUGGCUUGUGGCGGCCAAGCGUCCAUAGCGACGUCGCUUUUUGAUCCUUCGAGUCGGCUCUUCCUAUCAUUGCGAAGCAGAAUUCGCCAAACGUUGGAUUGUUCACCCACCAAUAGGGAACGUGAGCUGGGUUUAGACCGUCGUGAGACAGGUUAGUUUUACCCUACUAAAUACUUGUUGCUAUGAUGGUAAUCCUGCUUAGUACGAGAGGAACCGCAGGUUCAGACAUUUGGUUCAUGUGCUUGGUCGAUAGGCCAAUGGCGCGAAGCUACCAUCUGAGGGAUUAUGACUGAACGCCUCUAAGUCAGAAUCCCGCCCAGUCAUGAUAGCAAUAUAUAUCGCUCUCCGGUGUCGGAAGGCAAAAUGUAUGCCAUUUUUUGUGGUAGUACAAGCCCCAGUAUCUGGCAUUUUCUUUCUACUAUAAUUGGUAGUUGGUUGCUAAAAGCUUAGCACUCCUCGUGCAUGUGUAACGUCGGGGCGCAAAAUCACUUGUAUACGACUUGAAUACUGGUCAGGGGGUUGUAAUCAGUAGAGCAGCUCUUCGCUGCGAUCUGUUGAGACUUAGCCCUUGAUCGGAUGAUUUGUCUUUU
rnacentral:rRNA from 1 species